GACGAACGCUGGCGGCGUGCUUAACACAUGCAAGUCGAACGGAAAGGCCCUGCUUUUGUGGGGUGCUCGAGUGGCGAACGGGUGAGUAACACGUGAGUAACCUGCCCUUGACUUUGGGAUAACUUCAGGAAACUGGGGCUAAUACCGGAUAGGAGCUCCUGCUGCAUGGUGGGGGUUGGAAAGUUUCGGCGGUUGGGGAUGGACUCGCGGCUUAUCAGCUUGUUGGUGGGGUAGUGGCUUACCAAGGCUUUGACGGGUAGCCGGCCUGAGAGGGUGACCGGCCAACUUGGGACUGGGAAACGGCCCAGACCACCAGGGGGGGGAGCAGGGGGGAAUAUUGAAAAAUGGGGGGAAGCCUGAUGCAGAAACGCCGGGGGGGGGAUGACGGCCUUGGGGUUGUAAACCGCUUUCCCCUGGGACGAAGGGUGAGUGACGGUAAGGGGUAAAGAAACACCGGCUAACUACGU
rnacentral:rRNA from 1 species